GAAUUUGAGGGUGACCUGGCUGUGACAAGCCACCCCACUGAUCACCAGUGUUUUUUUAACUGAUCUUACUGGCUUGCUGGGUGUCCCCUUUCUCCUCCACAGUUCC
ensembl:misc_RNA 7SK 7SK RNA